UUGAAAAUAUUUUCACCCUUUAUAUAGAUUGUGUUUUCAUUCUGUUGAUUGUUUUAUUUGCUGUGCAUAAGCUUUUUAGUUUGAUACAAUCUGAUAUGCCUAUUGUUGCUUUUUGAGUCAUAUCCAAAAUAUCAUUGCCUGGACCAAUGUCAGGAGGAUCUUUUCCUGUGUUUUCUUCCUGUGGUUUAUAGGUUCAGGUGUUAUGUUUCAAUCUUUAAUUAAUUUUAGUUGAUUUUUGCAUGUGGUGUGAGAUAAGAAUCCAAUUUCAUUCGUCUGCAUGUGGAUAUCUAAUUUUUUUCAACACUACCUAUUGAAGAGACAGACCUUUCCCUUGUAUGUUCU
rnacentral:lncRNA from 10 species